UACAGAGGGGGCAAGCGUUGUUCGGAAUUACUGGGCGUAAAGGGCGCGUAGGCGGCCUGUUAAGUCGGACGUGAAAUCCCCAAGCUUAACUUGGGAACUGCGUCCGAUACUGGCAGGCUUGAAUUCGGGAGAGGGAUGUGGAAUUCCAGGUGUAGCGGUGAAAUGCGUAGAUAUCUGGAGGAACACCGGUGGCGAAGGCGGCAUCCUGGACCGAAAUUGACGCUGAUGCGCGAAAGCCAGGGGAGCAAACGGG
rnacentral:rRNA from 1 species